CAAUGGGGGAAACCCUGNAUGCAGCGACGCCGCGNUGGAGGAAGAAGGUCUUCGGAUUGUAAACUCCUGUUGUUGAGGAAGAUAAUGACGGUACUCAACAAGGAAGUGACGGCUAACUACGUGCCAGCAGCCGCGGUAAAACGUAGGUCACAAGCGUUGUCCGGAAUUACUGGGUGUAAAGGGAGCGCAGGCGGGAGAACAAGUUGGAAGUGAAAUCCAUGGGCUCAACCCAUGAACUGCUUUCAAAACUGUUUUUCUUGAGUAGUGCAGAGGUAGGCGGAAUUCCCGGUGUAGCGGUGGAAUGCGUAGAUAUCGGGAGGAACACCAGUGGCGAAGGCGGCCUACUGGGCACCAACUGACGCUGAGGCUCGAAAGUGUGGGUAGCAAACAGGAUUAGAUACCCUGGUAGUCCAAGGGCGAAUUC
rnacentral:rRNA from 1 species